AGGGUCCCACCUUCGCUUACAAAUAGCGUCUAACUGCCACACUCAGAGUGGAUACUUAAAUUAGUCCUAAUGAGUCCUUAACUAAUUAUCAUUAAAUCUGUUAAUGAACGAUACAUCCCAGAGACGAAAUUUAAGGGUUCAUUAGUUGAUGACAGCUUUAAGUAUCCGUAGGGCAGAGUAUCGUCAAAUUGUCUUUGAUAAUGCUUAUCGAUAAACGAAAGGUGUAGCCGCACCUUAGAAUGUGAAAUUAUUUAGUAGCAAAAAAUGUUAUUUAAAUACAUUAAAACCUUGUAUAUCAACAAUAGAAAUAAGAAUUUGUUAAUUUCGGGAUCGUUUUUACGUAAAAACACCUAUUUUCAUGUAAAUGAUAUAUAGUACAUGGAAACUUUUUUCUGGUAUCACUGUCAAUAUUGUACUGUCAGUGUCAAGGUUACGUUUAAAAUUCUUGUUCCGUUAACCGUCAGGAAAGAAAAGUGUGUGGAAAAGUGUGAUAAGCUCUGAAAUAAAUAGCUUUAUCUUAACAUAUUAUCAUGGAGUCUUCAGGAACAAGAGCCCCACGCAAACGUGUGGCUAAUUUCACGGCGGACGAAAAAGCUUUGUUAGCACAAUUAGUUAUAAAGAGACCAAUCGUGGAAUCUUAAAUAACAGAUGGCAAGUCAGUCGCCAAGAAACAAGCAGCAUGGGAUAGUAUAACACAGGAGUUCAAUCAGGAAUCAAUCACCAACUUCCAGACUACGGGCUGCUUUGUGAAAGUUUAAGAAAACCCUCGAGAGACCUCGAGCACAGCAGCCGCGCUUGCGACCACUAGACCAACAAGGCAGUCAAAUAAACUUUGUACUACAUAAUUGUUCAACAAUUAAAAAAGUAUUCGUCUUA